rnacentral:rRNA from 1 species
GGGGGAUAUUGCACAAUGGAGGAAACUCUGAUGCAGCGACGCCGCGUGAGGGAAGAAGGUUUUCGGAUUGUAAACCUCUGUCUUCGGGGACGAAACAAAUGACGGUACUCGAGGAGGAAGCCACGGCUAACUACGUUCCAGCAGCCGCGGUAAUACGUAGGUGGCAAGCGUUGUCCGGAAUUACUGGGUGUAAAGGGAGCGCAGGCGGAACUGCAAGUUGGGUGUUUAAUCUACGGGCUCAACCUCAGAACUGCCCUUGAUACUGGCGAUCUCGAGUUCGAGAGAGGUUGGUGGAACUCCGAGUGUAGAGGUGAAAUUCGUAGAUAUUCGGAAGAACACCAGUGGCGAAGGCGGCCAACUGGCUCGAUACUGACGCUGAGGUGCGAAAGCGUGGGGAGCAAACA